rnacentral:rRNA from 1 species
GAACGUCGUGAGACAGUUCGGUCCUUAUCCACUGUGGGCGCAGGAAACUUGAGGGGUUCAUUCCCUAGUACGAGAGGACCGGGAAUGACGCGCUUCUGGUGUGGCAAUUGUAUCGUCAGAUGCAUCGUUGCGUAGCCAUGCGCGGAAGAGAUAAGCGCUGAAAGCAUCUAAGUGCGAAACUAGCCACGAGAUGAGAGUUCCAU